UGAACGCUGGCGGCGUGCCUAACACAUGCAAGUCGAACGGAGAUUUAACGCUGAUGAGGCUUCGGCGGAUUCUGUAAAUCUUAGUGGCGGACGGGUGAGUAACGCGUGGGCAACCUGCCUCAUACUGGGGGGAUAACAGCUGGAAACGACUGUUAAUACCGCAUAAGCGCACAGCAUCGCAUGAUGCAGUGUGAAAAAACUCCGGUGGUAUGAGAUGGGCCCGCGUCAGAUUAGCCAGUUGGCAGGGUAACGGCCUACCAAAGCAACGAUCUGUAGCCGGCCUGAGAGGGCGGACGGCCACAUUGGGACUGAGACACGGCCCAAACUCCUACGGGAGGCAGCAGUGGGGGAUAUUGCACAAUGGAGGAAACUCUGAUGCAGCGACGCCGCGUGAGUGAAGAAGUAUUUCGGUAUGUAAAGCUCUAUCAGCAGGGAAGAAAGGCUCGUAAGAGAGAUGACGGUACCUGACUAAGAAGCCCCGGCUAACUACGUGCCAGCCGCCGC
rnacentral:rRNA from 1 species